rnacentral:rRNA from 1 species
AUUGAACGCUGGCGGCAGGCCUGACACAUGCAAGUCGAGCGGAUGAGUGGAGCUUGCUCCAUGAUUCAGCGGCGGACGGGUGAGUAAUGCCUAGGAAUCUGCCUGGUAGUGGGGGACAACGUUUCGAAAGGAACGCUAAUACCGCAUACGUCCUACGGGAGAAAGUGGGGGAUCUUCGGACCUCACGCUAUCAGAUGAGCCUAGGUCGGAUUAGCUAGUUGGUGAGGUAAAGGCUCACCAAGGCGACGAUCCGUAACUGGUCUGAGAGGAUGAUCAGUCACACUGGAACUGAGACACGGUCCAGACUCCUACGGGAGGCAGCAGUGGGGAAUAUUGGACAAUGGGCGAAAGCCUGAUCCAGCCAUGCCGCGUGUGUGAAGAAGGUCUUCGGAUUGUAAAGCACUUUAAGUUGGGAGGAAGGGCAGUAAGUUAAUACCUUGCUGUUUUGACGUUACCAACAGAAUAAGCACCGGCUAACUUCGUGCCAGCCGCCGCAGUAAAAC